rnacentral:rRNA from 1 species
UAGUGGACUCCUACGGGAGGCAGCAGUGGGGAAUAUUGCGCAAUGGGGGCAACCCUGACGCAGCCAUGCCGCGUGAAUGAAGAAGGCCUUCGGGUUGUAAAGUUCUUUCGGUAGCGAGGAAGGCAUUUAGUUUAAUAGACUAGGUGAUUGACGUUAACUACAGAAGAAGCACCGGCUAACUCCGUGCCAGCAGCCGCGGUAAUACGGAGGGUGCGAGCGUUAAUCGGAAUAACGGGGCGUAAAGGGGACGAGGGCGGUGACUUAAGUGAGGUGUGAACGCCCCGGGCUUAACCUGGGAAUUGCAUUUCAUACUGGGUCGCUAGAGUACUUUAGGGAGGGGUAAAAUUCCACGUGUAGCGGUGAAAUGCGUAGAGAUGUGGAGGAAUACCGAAGGCGAAGGCAGCCCCUUGGGAAUGUACUGACGCUCAUGUGCGAAAGCGUGGGGAGCAAACAGGAUUAGAAACCCGAGUAGUCCGA